GAUGAACGCUAGCUACAGGCUUAACACAUGCAAGUCGAGGGGUAACGAGAGGGAAGCUUGCUUUCCUUGUCGACGACCGGCGCACGGGUGAGUAACGCGUAUCCAACCUGCCCCCAACUAGGGAAUAACCUUGCGAAAGUAAGACUAAUACCCUAUAAUUUCCUCAGAUGUCAUCUGACGAGGAAUAAAGAUUUAUCGGUUGUGGAUGGGGAUGCGUCUGAUUAGCUUGUUGGCGGGGUAACGGCCCACCAAGGCAACGAUCAGUAGGGGAACUGAGAGGAGAGUCCCCCAAAUUGGAACUGAGGAACGGACCAAACUACUACGGGAGGCAGCAGUGAGGAAUAUUGGUCAAUGGGCGGAAGCCUGAACCAGCCAAGUAGCGUGCAGGAUGACGGCCCUAUGGGUUGCAAACUGCUUUUAUACAGGAAUAAAGUUAGCCACGUGUCGUUAUUUGUAGGUACUGUAUGAAUAAGGACCGGCUAAUUCCGUGCCAGCCGCCGCGGUAA
rnacentral:rRNA from 1 species